GAGCCGGUCUCCAGGGCAGAUCUUCCGGGCGACUCGCCCUAUAAGAAAUUAGAAAAUGCUACAAUAAAACCCGAAAAACAUUUAAAAAAAAUGUGGCAACUUUAUUAAUGAAAGCUCGUGCGCUAUCCACCGUAAACACACACGCCCCUUUAGUUGGAAGUCACCGAUAGACAGCGAAGUACCUCAGAUCAUUCAUGGAAAGCCAUCUUCUAUAUUAAAAAUGCCACUGCUAGUACAACACAAGUGCCACUGAAGACCUCUGUGAUUCCCCCACCCGUUCAUGCCAGGACUGCUCCUCUCCCU